GAUGAACGCUGGCGGCGUGCUUAACACAUGCAAGUCGAGCGAACGGACGAGAAGCUUGUUUCUCUGAUGUUAGCGGCGGACGGGUGAGUAACACGUGUAUACCCUACCUAUCAGACUGGUAUAACCUCGGGAAACCGGCGCUAAUACCGUAUAAUCUUCUGAACCGCAUGGUUCAAAAGUGAAAGACGGUCGUGCGGUAACUUAUAGAUGGAUCCGCGCUGCAUUAGCUAGUUGUUAAGGUAACGGCUUACCAAGGCAACGAUGCAUAGCCGACCUGAGAGGGUGAUCGGCCACACUGGAACUGAGACACGGUCCAGACUCCUACGGGAGGCAGCAGUAGGGAAUCUUCCGCAAUGGGCGAAAGCCUGACGGAGCAACGCCGCGUGAGUGAUGAAGGUCUUCGGAUCGUAAAACUCUGUUAUUAGGGAAGAACAUAUGUGUAAGUAACUGUGCACAUCUUGACGGUACCUAAUCAGAAAGCCACGGCUAACUACGUG
rnacentral:rRNA from 1 species